rnacentral:rRNA from 1 species
UGGAGUAUGUGGUUUAAUCGAUGCAACGCGAAGAACUUACCUGGUCUUGACAUCCCGGAGACCCUUAGGAAACUAGGGGUGCUUCCAUCUGAAGAAUCUGGAGACAGGUGCUGCAUGGCUGUCGUCAGCUCGUGUCGUGAGAUGUUGGGUUAAGUCCCGCAACGAGCGCAACCCUUGCCUUUAGUUGCCAGCAGUUCGGCUGGGCACUCUAAAGGGACUGCCGGUGUUAAACCGGAGGAAGGUGGGGGAUGACGUCAAGUCCUCAUGGCCUUUAUGACCAGGGCUACACACGUACUACAAUGGCCGAUACAAAGGGCAGCGACACUGCGAGGUGAAGCCAAUCCCGUAAAAUCGGUCUCAGUCCGGAUUGGAGUCUGCAACUCGACUCCAUGAAGUUGGAAUCGCUAGUAAUCGUGGAUCAGCAUGCCACGGUGAAUACGUUCCCGGGCCUU